CCCUCGGUCGUCUAGUUGGUUUAUGGCGUCCGGCUGUAAAUGACAACGGUACCGGAAUGUCGCGCGUUCGACUCGCGCCUGAGGGA
rnacentral:tRNA from 2 species